rnacentral:rRNA from 1 species
GGGGGAUAUUGCACAAUGGGGGAAACCCUGAUGCAGCGACGCCGCGUGGAGGAAGAAGGUUUUCGGAUUGUAAACUCCUGUCGUUAGGGACGAUAAUGACGGUACCUAACAAGAAAGCACCGGCUAACUACGUGCCAGCAGCCGCGGUAAAACGUAGGGUGCAAGCGUUGUCCGGAAUUACUGGGUGUAAAGGGAGCGCAGGCGGACCGGCAAGUUGGAAGUGAAAACUAUGGGCUCAACCCAUAAAUUGCUUUCAAAACUGCUGGCCUUGAGUAGUGCAGAGGUAGGUGGAAUUCCCGGUGUAGCGGUGGAAUGCGUAGAUAUCGGGAGGAACACCAGUGGCGAAGGCGACCUACUGGGCACCAACUGACGCUGAGGCUCGAAAGCAUGGGUAGCAAACAGGAUUAGAUACCCUGGUAGUCCAUGCCGUAAACGAUGAUUACUAGGUGUUGGAGGAUUGACCCCUUCAGUGCCGCAGUUAACACAAUAAGUAAUCCACCUGGGGAGUACGACCGCAAGGUUGAAACUCAAAGGAAUUGACGGGGGCCCGCACAAGCAGUGGAGUAUGUGGUUUAAUUCGAAGCAACGCGAAGAACCUUACCAGGUCUUGACAUCCGAUGCAUAGUGCAGAGAUGCAUGAAGUCCUUCGGGACAUCGAGACAGGUGGUGCAUGGUUGUCGUCAGCUCGUGUCGUGAGAUGUUGGGUUAAGUCCCGCAACGAGCGCAACCCUUAUUGCCAGUUACUACGUUAAGAGGACUCUGGCGAGACUGCCGUUGACAAAACGGAGGAAGGUGGGGAUGACGUCAAAUCAUCAUGCCCUUUAUGACCUGGGCUACACACGUACUACAAUGGCGUUAAACAAAGAGAAGCAAGACCGCGAGGUGGAGCAAAACUCAAAAACAACGUCUCAGUUCAGAUUGCAGGCUGCAACUCGCCUGCAUGAAGUCGGAAUUGCUAGUAAUCGCGGAUCAGCAUGCCGCGGUGAAUACGUUCCCG